AACGAACGCUGGCGGCAGGCCUAACACAUGCAAGUCGAGCGCCCUUUCGGGGGAGCGGCGGACGGGUGAGUAACGCGUGGGAAUAUGCCCUUCUCUACGGAAUAGCCUCGGGAAACUGAGAGUAAUACCGUAUAUGCCCUGUGGGGGAAAGAUUUAUCGGGGAAGGAUUAGCCCGCGUUGGAUUAGGUAGUUGGUGGGGUAAUGGCCUACCAAGCCGACGAUCCAUAGCUGGUUUGAGAGGAUGAUCAGCCACACUGGGACUGAGACACGGCCCAGACUCCUACGGGAGGCAGCAGUGGGGAAUCUUAGACAAUGGGGGCAACCCUGAUCUAGCCAUGCCGCGUGAGUGAUGAAGGCCUUAGGGUUGUAAAGCUCUUUCAGCUGGGAAGAUAAUGACGGUACCAGCAGAAGAAGCCCCGGCUAACUCCGUG
rnacentral:rRNA from 1 species